UACGGAGGGUGCAAACGUUGCUCGGAAUCAUUGGGCGUAAAGCGCACGUAGGCGGUCCAGCAAGCGGGGAGUGAAAGCCCUCGGCUUAACCGAGGAAGUGCUUUCCGAACUACUGGACUUGAGUACUGAAGAGGAUCGCGGAAUUCCCGGUGUAGAGGUGAAAUUCGUAGAUAUCGGGAGGAACACCAGUGGCGAAGGCGGCGAUCUGGGCAGAUAUUGACGCUGAGGUGCGAAAGCGUGGGGAGCAAACAGG
rnacentral:rRNA from 1 species